rnacentral:rRNA from 1 species
AUUGAACGCUGGCGGCAUGCCUAACACAUGCAAGUCGAACGGCAGCAUGACCUGGCUUGCCAGGUUGAUGGCGAGUGGCGGACGGGUGAGUAACGCGUAGGAAUAUGCCUUAAAGUGGGGGAUAACUUGGGGAAACUCAAGCUAAUACCGCAUAUUCUCUGAGGAGGAAAGCUAGGGACUUUUAGCCUGGCGCUUUAAGAGUAGCCUGCGUCUGAUUAGCUAGUUGGUGGGGUAAAGGCCUACCAAGGCGACGAUCGGUAGCUGGUCUGAGAGGAUGGACAGCCACACUGGGACUGAGACACGGCCCAGACACCUACGGGUGGCAG